CAAAAACAAAAUAUGUUCACACGAGCAUAAAAACUGUUGCAGUGAAUCAAUGCUAUAGACAACUUAAUUGGUCAUGCUCCACAUCUAAGGAAUUUCGUAAAUUUCUGUUAUGGUCUCGGCCCAACACGUGAAAAAUGGGCUGAAGGAAAUGGUGUUGAGAGCUAUCCUCUCUGAUUCUUGUUUCACUUUUUCUUCUGGCCAUUUGCUUGAAGUUGAAAUCAAAUGCUCCCUAUGUUCUCAUAGGGGUAGCUAUUCGUGCUGCUGUCCAAGCAUUCUGACGAGAGAAGCUGCAGCUUAACCAUUCAUCAAAGAAGAAAGGAGAGAUAUGAUCAGGAAAGUUUACUGGCGUAUCAUGUUUUGUUUUUGUGAUAUCACUACCUGAAAUAAGAAGAUGGUAAAGAAUGUUUGGAUCUAUGUCACGCAAAUGUACUCUUGUAUCUAAUUUGUGUAUUUGCAUGCCUCCAGUUUAUUUAAGCUUAAGAUCCUAGUGUCAUGUUCUAUGCAGAAUAAGGGGCGCUGAGCAUUCUCGGAUCAUCUUUGAGAAAGAGGCAUCCAGUUUCCAUUUGUUGUGACUGACAGCGUUAUAAAAUUAUAAUAGAGGUUCCAUUUGAAUUCUUAUUGUCUAACAGCAAGGCCUUCUCAGGUUUUUGCUGCCUCAUGAACUUCUUUCUAAGAUUCCAUGAACAGUUGUUUAAGUUUUUGUCGAGUAUUUAAGUUUUGAUGAUUAACAAAGUAUGACUAAAUGUUCAAAGAACCACGUCCUCAACGUAGCUGCUUAAUUGUUCUGAAGAACCAGCUCCUCGAAAGAAAGGAUCAGCUCCUCAUGUUGAUACUUGUACGUCUGUACAAGACAAUAACUUUAUCUCAAAGUUACUCAGGUCCGAGCUUGGUGAAAGAAGGCUGCUAUAAGUGAUAAGGAUCGUUGCUCAAGAAGAUAUGGAUAAUUCAGUCAGAGACAAAAGUCUUGUGAAAUCUUUGGAAUAGUAGGAGUCCUAUGAAAGAGGAAGCUAACUAUGAAUAGGACUCCUAGAAGAUCUCAAGUUGAAGCUUUUAAAUAUGAUCGACUUUGGACUUCUGAACUAUCCUUUUACACAUCAACAAAAGAGUCAUAAGUCGUUUAGUCGAGUCGAGUACUUGCAUUGUAUUCUUUCUGAGUCAGUCUAGUGAAUGUAUUUUAGAAAAUUGAGAUGUAAUCAAGUGUCAUAAACAAUUAGUGAGUUGGAGUGAAUGUUUUGCUUUACAAGUUAGAGUAACUUGUAAAUCAAAUAAGAGUAGUAGGAGUGCUAGAGAAUAUUUAAUUACAGUCUUUUAAUUGAUACAUUUUGGCUCAUUGUUCCAGUGGAGUUGGAGUUGAAAAUCCUACGUGGUAGGUCGUGGUUUUUGCACCUUUUGAGCCGGGCGAUUUUUCACGUAAAAAUCGUUGUGUUCAUUUUAUUGC